UAUUUAUGUUUUUAUUAUUGAGCUGAAUAACAUGUUUAUAUAUUCUGGAUACAAAUUCUUUAUCCAAUACAUAACUUGAAUAUCUUUUCCCAGGCUGUGGCUUGUCCUUUAAUUUCCUUAACAGGGCCUUUUGAUGAGCAGAAGUUUUGUAAUUCUGAUGAAAUCCAAUUUAUUACUUUUAUUCUGGGGAAUUAUGCUUUUGUUGUCUCUAAUCAAUCUUUACCUAAACUUGAAUCUCAAUCAUUUCUUGUGUUUUCUUUUAGACAUCUUAUAAUUUUCGGCUUUACAUAUAAGUCUGUGAUCUAUUUUGAGUUAAUUUGUGCCUGUAAUGUAAGGGCCAGGCAACGAAAGAACUGCUUAAACAUGCAUCUCUGGGUAAGUAAAGAGUAUUAAUGAUAAAAACCAAAAUACUAUAAGAAAGUUACUAUUCCUCGUUUGCAAACUUCUGAAGCAGAAGAGAAAAACCUGAAUGUACUAUAUUUUCAUUUCUUUUUUUUUAAUGUGCAAGUA
ensembl:lncRNA